GGCACUGUUUUCAGUGAUAAACAGGAACACACAUUCAGUUCUGUUACUGAGUCUGACGCAGGUAAAUACUCCUGUUCUGGAUCAGAGAGAGGAGGAUCACGAACAUCACACAUCAGUGAAGAAGUUACUCUGACAGUAUCAGAUAAAGCCCUGGCAGUGUUAAGUGUUUCUCCACAGACGUGGUUGACUGAAGGAGAUCCAGUGACUCUGAUCUGUGAGGUUAAAGACUCCUCUACAGGCUGGACAUUCAGCUGGUUUUCUCUAACUCUCUCAUCAGACAGCAGCAGAGGAUCUGGAGGACUCUACUCUAUCAGUUCUGCUGUAAAUCACACAGGAGUUUAUGUGUGCAGAGCAGAGAGAGGAGAUCCAGUCUAUCACACAACCUUCAGCAACA